rnacentral:rRNA from 1 species
GAAUUGUUCGCAAUGGGCGCAAGCCUGACGACGCAACGCCGCGUGGAGGAUGAAGAUCUUCGGGUCGUAAACUCCUGUCGAGCGGGAAGAACGUUUCGCGGAUGACUAAGCCGCGACAGUGACGGUACCGCCAAAGGAAGCCCCGGCUAACUCCGCGCCAGCCGCCGCGGUAAUACGGGGGGGGCAAGCGUUGUUCGGAAUUACUGGGCGUAAAGGGCUCGUAGGUGGCCAACUAAGUCAGACGUGAAAUCCCCAGGCUUAACCUGGGAACUGCGUCUGAUACUGGAUGGCUUGAAUUCGGGAGAGGGAUGCAGAAUUCCAGGUGUAGCGGUGAAAUGCGUAGAUAUCUGGAGGAAUACCGGUGGCGAAGGCGGCAUCCUGGACCGAGAUUGACACUGAGGAGCGAAAGCCAGGGGAGCAAACGGG